rnacentral:rRNA from 1 species
AACGAACGCUGGCGGCAUGCCUAACACAUGCAAGUCGAACGAGACCUUCGGGUCUAGUGGCGCACGGGUGCGUAACGCGUGGGAACCUGCCCUUAGGUUCGGAAUAACUCCCCGAAAGGGGUGCUAAUACCGGAUAAUGUCUUCGGACCAAAGAUUUAUCGCCUUUGGAUGGGCCCGCGUUGGAUUAGCUUGUUGGGAGGGUAAGAGCCUACCAAGGCGACGAUCCAUAGCUGGUCUGAGAGGAUGAUCAGCCACACUGGGACUGAGACACGGCCCAGACUCCUACGGGAGGCAGCAGUGGGGAAUAUUGGACAAUGGGCGAAAGCCUGAUCCAGCAAUGCCGCGUGAGUGAUGAAGGCCUUAGGGUUGUAAAGCUCUUUUACCCGGGAUGAUAAUGACAGUACCGGGAGAAUAAGCUCCGGCUAACUCCGUG